rnacentral:rRNA from 1 species
UACGGAGGGUGCAAGCGUUAUCCGGAUUUACUGGGUUUAAAGGGUGUGUAGGCGGGCUUUUAAGUCAGUGGUGAAAUCUCCAGGCUUAACCUGGAAAUUGCCGUUGAUACUAUAUAUCUUGAAUGCUGUGGAGGUAAGCGGAAUAUGUCAUGUAGCGGUGAAAUGCUUAGAGAUGACAUAGAACACCUAUUGCGAAGGCAGCUUACUACGCAGAUAUUGACGCUCAUGCACGAAAGCGUGGGGAUCAAACAGG